rnacentral:rRNA from 1 species
CGCGGCCUAUCAGCUUGUUGGUGAGGUAACGGCUCACCAAGGCUCCGACGGGUAGCUGGUCUGAGAGGACGAUCAGCCACACUGGGACUGAGACACGGCCCAGACUCCUACGGGAGGCAGCAGCAGGGAAUUUUGCACAAUGGGCGCAAGCCUGAUGCAGCGACGCCGCGUGCGGGAUGAAGGCCUUCGGGUUGUAAACCGCUUUCAGGAGGGACGAAGCGAGAGUGACGGUACCUCCAGAAGAAGCCCCGGCCAACUACGUGCCAGCAGCCGCGGUAAUACGUAGGGGGCGAACGUUGUCCGGAUUUAUUGGGCGUAAAGAGCUCGUAGGCGGUUCUGUAAGUCGGAUGUGAAAACUCAGGGCUCAACCCUGAGACGCCAUCUGAUACUGCAGUGACUAGAGUCCGGUAGGGGAAGAUGGAAUUCCUGGUGUAGCGGUGGAAUGCGCAGAUAUCAGGAGGAACACCAAUGGCGAAGGCAGUCUUCUGGGCCGGUACUGACGCUGAGGAGCGAAAGCAUGGGGAGCAAACAGGAUUAGAUACCCUGGUAGUCCAUGCCGUAAACGUUGGGCACUAGGUGUGGGGUCUUCUAACGGAUUCCGUGCCAUAGCUAACGCAUUAAGUGCCCCGCCUGGGGAGUACGG